CAGCAGAUUCGAAAGUGACAUCACGAAUGACGGGAAUAUAUCGGGAAUGAUGCACUAGUUCUUUCGCGAAUUUAUCGAUACAAAAACAAUUAACCUACAAUUUUGAACUUCAUAUUAUAUAUCUUCAUCUUUCAAUGAAAUGAUAAUAUUCCUGUCACCUCUGAAGCCAAGAGUAAGCUGUAUUAAGAAAUCGUUUAUCAGUUUUAUCAUUGAAAAAUAUACGUAAAAAUAUAACUUGAUUUGAUUUGUUUACCUUGUAUUUUCUGUACUGGGAACGAGCUGUACAAUUGCUACCGACUGCACGAGUCAUGUUCAAAAUUCAGAGUGCCCAGCUGUUGGUGUAUGUUCCUGUAUAAAUAAUUACAUCAAAGAUGGCAAUGUUUGUGCUAAAGAACUAGGUCAAACCUGCUCUUCUGGUGAAUGUGUAACUCAUGCAGAAUGCGACGAGACAUGUAAGUGCUCGGAUGGAUACAUUGACACCAACGGACUUUGUGCUGUUCCGUCUUCUACAAUCACAGCCAAGCUGUCAACCAGUGUAACUGUGAUGUCAAUUCUAAGUAUUGCAGUUCUUAAUAUUUUAUGAGAAUGCAUCUUUAGCCAGACGUAAUUAUUAACCAGAGAAAACUCAGUUGAUUCUUCUGACGUUCUAUUUUUAAAUAUACAUACAUUAACAUGAGAUUCUUCUUAAUUGGAUUUUACACACGUGCAAAUGUACGUUAAUUUGUUUGAAGUCCAUAUAUAUUUUCCUAAGAGUUUUGAUUUAAUGACUGUAGGUAUUUGUUCUCUUAAUAUUGAAAUAGAUCUACGUUUCCUCCGACUGUAUUAAGCGAAACUGUCAUACAGAAAUAUUUAGGAUGUAUAUGUGUUUGUAACUAACAGAACAUGGGCACGCCGAUUGAUUUUAAUCAAUCAAAAAUGUUGAAGAACAGACUUGCAACAUUUUAGUACAUGAAGAACUCGAAUUUCUUGAAACUGAUGUAUAGCCAGAAAUCUGCACUUGAAAUUUCUCCUUUACAGUUUGAUUUUUUUAUUUGGUUUUUGUGGCUCCAUAAAUCGAGCAAUAUGUGCAGUAAAAGAACUGGCAGGUAACGGAUUUUGCGUUGUACAACUUUGAAAGAAUAAAAGCAAAAAACACUACCAAUCAAACACAAGCUGAUAAUAGAGACAGCGAAAUUGACGACGAUGCUUAUCGGAAUAAAACUGCUUGGUGAUUUCGUGAAGCAUUUAUUUUUUCGAAACAUUGUUAUACUACAGGACAAAAAAUUCAGACUACAGAACAAAUAAAUCAUAUUAUGACAGACUGUAUCUUUAGUUACAUGUACGAGUACAUCUUUCUAGUAAUCAAUAGGUCUGCCGUGAUGUAGUUCUUAGUUCGCCCUGGAGCUAUUUCUAACCUUUAAUGAGAAUAACAUAUUUUCACCAAUGCAGAACAAGUCAUGUUUAAGUACUAUGAAAGUACAUGUUCAAAUUUUACUCAUUGCUGAUUCACAUAAUUCAGAUAGCUCAGAACUUUUUAAAUGAUUAUAUUUGUAAACUUGACUUUGUCUUGAACUUAAAUGCCCCGUUCGGGCAACAGAAAAUGACUCAUACAAAUACUAGUAAUAGAUUAAUAUUUGCUUCGAUAAAACACAUGUCAACUUUUCACGCCUUGUGUGAGUUUUCGUUAGAUUUAGAGGAAAAUAUUAGUGUACUUAAAUUGAGAAAAGUUCAGCUGUUUAAGUUCUAGAUCAGCAGUUUUAUUUAGGAUGUGGAUAUGUUUCAACGAAAGGCGUAAGAGCUUAAUCAUGUAGCAUAUUUAGAAAUACAAUACGAUUGGAUGACUUGGUGUGAUGUAUUGGCUGGAACGGGCUUGUAGGCAGUCAUGAGUAAUGUCUUAAGUGAUAUGCAUACUGUUAAGCAUAGAAGAAAUAUUGGGCAACAUAUUUCAGAAAUGGAAUCAACAAAAAUAUCGGCAUAAACAUUUCAUUAAAAAUAUACACAAUUAUUGAUUCGAUUAAUUUUUUCCAGAUUUCUGCAUAAUGGUUUUGGGAUGUGUAUGUACAUGUAUUAUCAUAGUUAUCAUGCAUGUGAGAUGUUAUUCCUGUCGAAAGCCAUAUGAGCAUGACUAAAUGAUAUUGCUUAUUUAGGAUUAUAUAUUUUUCCUAACUAACCAAUGGAUACAAUUAACAAAAUUUCGUUUUUAUUGUGGACAUUUGUAUUGUUAAGCACAUUUGUUUUGGGUUGAUAAGUGUACGAAUUUUGUUGAUACCGGUGUAAGUAGUUCGGAAUGACACUAAAGUCUGGGGUUUCUAUUAAAAAUAAAAGAUUCACUAUGUAGAUUUUUAAUUGAUUAUUAAGAAGCUAAUUCUAAAAAGCUUUGUUUAUUGUGUAUAAAGAUGUUACCGAAUAUUGAGUGGAGUUACGAUAUUAAAGACUUCGGAAACAAAGACGAUAGAAUUGGGAAACUAAUAAAAUAAUAAUUGUUGAAUAUUUUUGACUGAUUAAUGCUGCAAAGGUUUGAUUUGCUAGACAAAGUAUAUUUUAUACAAUUCUAGAAUGUCUUUCCGGUAAAAUGUCAUGUGUAAGAAAUAUGUAAUAAACUAGAGUGCUUAUUCAAUGAUUCGAAUGUUACUUCAAUCAGUUCAUUCCUGGCAUUGUAAUAUGUUUUGUAACAACUGCAUGCAUGUAAAGAUAUUUUAGUAAAUACAAAACAGA